rnacentral:rRNA from 1 species
GACGAACGCUGGCGGCGUGCUUAACACAUGCAAGUCGAACGGAAAGGCCCUGCUUUUGUGGGGUGCUCGAGUGGCGAACGGGUGAGUAACACGUGAGUAACCUGCCCUUGACUUUGGGAUAACUUCAGGAAACUGGGGCUAAUACCGGAUAGGAGCUCCUGCUGCAUGGUGGGGGUUGGAAAGUUUCGGCGGUUGGGGAUGGACUCGCGGCUUUUCAGCUUGUUGGUGGGGUAGUGGCUUACCAAGGCUUUGACGGGUAGCCGGCCUGGGAGGGUGACCGGCCACAUUGGGACUGAGAUACGGCCCAGACUGCUACGGGAGGCAGCAGUGGGGAAUAGUGCACAAUGGGCGGAAGCCGGAUGCAGCAACGCCGCGUGCGGGAUGACGGCCUUCGGGUUGUAAACCGCGUUCGCCUGUGACGAAGCGUGAGUGACGGUAAUGGGUAAAGAAGCACCGGCUAACUACGUG